UUGUGGAGAAUGAUGAUGGUCGCAGUUCUUCGUUGUCCUCCUCUUCUAUUGGGAGGAUCAGCUAUGACUCUGCAGCUGCUGGUGAUGUCGACGGUGAUGGUGAGGAAGUGCAGAGCUCGGCAAAAGGUGGUGCUCUCGACAGUUUGGAGCACUUGGAGGAAGCUUUGCCGUUGAAGGAGGGGACCUGGUCACUCUCAUUACAAGUCUUGUUACAAUAUUCUGAUUCUUUCUUGGAGCCUUGGACUGUGCAUCAACUCGAUUUUACAAUGGUAGAGAUACUCAAGCUAUUGUAAAUGAAAAGCAUUGUAAGCAAAAGUUACCAUUUCCAAAAGGACAGGAUCUGUGGCUCAGCUAAAAAAGACAGGAAAUGGUGGCAGUGGUUGAGAACUGGAGUAUGGAUUGCCAGCACAAGAUCAUUUAAGGUAUGGGAUUUAAACCUGGCAGAAGGUGUUUUGGAAUGAUUUCUUUGAUAUUUGCUAUUUU